ACUUAAUUGAAGGCUUUCAGUGAAGUGGUGGCUGAGGGUGAGUCUAGGGGGCAGCUGGCACCAGGCCUCCUGCCAUCACACUCUUGCUGGCCUCCGCCAGGGUCCCAGGUUUCUCUGAAGACAGCCCGUGGUGGCAGGAAACAGCCAGAAGCCAGAGGCAGUGCCUGAGGGCUUCUGAUGACAGUAGUUUAGCCAAGAACCAGACCCACAAAUGUGGGCAAGUUGGUCUGUUCUUGGGACUAGGGAAGCAGAGUGCACCAGUAUGCUAAGGAUAGUCCCCUGUAGGGGCAAAGUAAGCCCCAACCAAGAUUCAGGGAAACAAGUCUGGCAGGAAGGAAGCUUUAGUCACUGGAAUGCCAGAAGGCUUUCCUUCUAGUCCACAUCAGCAGAAGACACUUUGUAGGAGGUUCUGAGUGACCAGAAGGACAAUGAGCCUGGAGCCUGGACUCUGUGAGCCAUACAGGGUAGAGGAAGGAGAAGAUGAGGGUAUCCUGUGGAUGGGGAGGCAUAAAGAAGCUUCUGGGUCUAGGAAGAUGUGGAAGGUAAGAGGGGCAAAGUCCUGAACUGACAGUGCUUACAGGCCAGCAAGAAGCUGAAGCAAGUACACAGGUAACUCUAGGGCAGGACAGAGGUGAUCACUGCCUUCAGAGAAGUGCAAAGAGCUCCCUGACUCCAAAGGAGGCUUUGCUCCCAGAGAUCAGGACUUCUGAAACCCUAUCUGCCUAACUUGGAACCUCUUGUCCUCCGUGAACAUGAUCCUUGCCUGCUGAUCCUGGCCUGUCCUGUGCUUAGGAACUAAAGUGUAGAGCAGGCGCCUUCCCAAACCUAUACAUCUUUCUCAUUUUCAAGCCAGUCUGAUGGCCAAUCCCCUUGAUUCACCCUUGGAAACAAAUACUAGCCAAGGGAGUCUGUUGCUGGCAUUGACAAGGAUCCGAUGUAGGUCAGUAUUCUAAUUCCCACUCCACAGAGGAGAAAGAGCAGAGGAAUCAGACUGGAGUCCAGCUGUGGUCGAUGAAUCAUCCGGAACACAGCAAGCAGCUAUUUCUGAACUAAAUAGCAUCAGAUCUCUCUCCUCACCUUGAGUCCAGUGUCCUGGUCUCCAGAGCACUUCCUCUGGGAUGAAGCCAGCGAGGGGCAGAAAGCCUUGAGCAGAAUGGAGUUGACAAGCUUGGCUUUGUCACUGCUGUUCCCAUGCAGUGAUGAAGAGGAAGCAACUUUGAGAAGCCCUGGCCUUUCAGAAACCAGGGGCCAUUCUGUUCAUCGUGGAUGUUCAAGAGGGCAAGUAAUAACAAGCCAACUUGCCACUCCUGCCAGGCACCUAGGGGGAUGCCGGUGGAUGUCACCAGAACCUAUUGCUCUACUGUCACUCUCUGCCUCUACCACUCCACUGAUUACCCUUCUGGGGGUUGAGAAUCGCAUUGUACAAUAGAAAAUCAACUUUGAGACAGGAAACCAGGGAGCUGGAUCUUGCUGGACCAGGCAGUGGAGGCAGGAACAGAAAUCUCAAGCCUUGGUUUUCUUGUUGCCACAUUGCUGUAUGGACUCUGCAUCUCCUCCGCCCCCCUCCCCCCAAAUCGUUGUCCACUGAAGCCAGACAAAAUAAUGUGCUCCCCAACUCUUUCAAAAAAGUGGAACGCAAGUCACGGGAAGCUUUGCUUUUCUUCUGACUUCUUCCUGUAAACCAGUUCAGGACUUGGUGCAGGAAGAGUCAGCUCUCAAACCGAAGCCAGACCUUGCUUUUUAA